AACGCGAAGAACCUUACCAGGGCUUGACAUCCCAUUGACCGGUAUAGAGAUAUACCUUUCCUUCGGGACAAUGGAGACAGGUGGUGCAUGGUUGUCGUCAGCUCGUGUCGUGAGAUGUUGGGUUCAGUCCCGCAACGAGCGCAACCCUUAUUUUUAGUUGCCAGCAAGUAAUGUUGGGCACUCUAGAGAGACAGCCGGUGAAAGCCGGAGGAAGGUGGGGAUGACGUCAAAUCAUCAUGCCCCUUAUGUCCUGGGCUACACACGUGCUACAAUGGCUAGAACAAAGGGAUGCAAUACCGCGAGGUGGAGCGAAAUCUCACAAAUCUAGUCUCAGUUCGGAUCGUAGGCUGCAACUCGCCUACGUGAAGUCGGAAUCGCUAGUAAUCGCGGAUCAGCAUGCCGCGGUGAAUACGUUCCCGGGCCUUGUACACACCGCGAGC
rnacentral:rRNA from 1 species